rnacentral:rRNA from 1 species
AUUGAACGCUGGCGGCAGGCCUAACACAUGCAAGUCGAACGGUAGCACAGAGAGCUUGCUCUCGGGUGACGAGUGGCGGACGGGUGAGUAAUGUCUGGGAAACUGCCCGAUGGAGGGGGAUAACUACUGGAAACGGUAGCUAAUACCGCAUAACGUCGCAAGACCAAAGUGGGGGACCUUCGGGCCUCACACCAUCGGAUGUGCCCAGAUGGGAUUAGCUAGUAGGUGGGGCAAUGGCUCACCUAGGCGACGAUCCCUAGCUGGUCUGAGAGGAUGACCAGCCACACUGGAACUGAGACACGGUCCAGACUCCUACGGGAGGCAGCAGUGGGGAAUAUUGCACAAUGGGCGCAAGCCUGAUGCAGCCAUGCCGCGUGUAUGAAGAAGGCCUUCGGGUUGUAAAGUACUUUCAGCGGGGAGGAAGGCGGUGAAGUUAAUAGCUUCACCGAUUGACGUUACCCGCAGAAGAAGCACCGGCUAACUCCGUGCCAGCAGCCGCCGCAG